GCAGACCUUGACAACUCAGAUGCCUGGCUUUCACCCAGGAGAUCGCGGGUUCGAACCCCGCCGCGAGAA